AUGCAGUGCGCGUACCAAAGGCCGCUCCCAACGCUGCACCCCCGGAACGCACCAGAAAACUCACAGCGGACAGAGACAGCACGCGUGCAGCGGACAGAGACAGCACACGUGCAGCGGACAGAGAUAGCACACAUGCAGUGGACAGAGACAGCACGCGUGCAGUGUACAGAGAGUGCAUGCAUGCAGCGGACAGAGACAGCAUGUGUAGAGAGGACAGAGACAACACGCCUGCAGCGGAGAGACAACACGCGUGCAGCGGACAGAGAUAGCACGCGUGCAACGGACAGAGACAACAUGUUGCAGCGGACAGAGACAACACGUCUGCAGUGGACAGAGAGAGCACAUGUACAGAGGACAGAGACAGUACGCGUGCAAGAGGACAGAGACAGCACGCAUGCAGCGGACAGAGACAACACGCGUGCAGCGGACAGAGACAGCACGCCUGCAGCGGAUGCGGGGAAGCCGUCGCUCGGCCGGCCCCCGAGAAUCCGGUCAGGGCAAGAGUCCCACGUGUGUGCCGGAUAUGGGCAGGCCACGCUCAGAAGGCACGCGUGGUGGCACAGCAGAGAGGCCUCGCCAGGGCCACAGGUGUGGGAAAUCUUCACGUCCGAGUCAUCACGGGGGUCACAGGGGAGAAGCCGCGCACGCCGCGGCCAUGGGGAACUGUCCAGGGAGGGCUCCCGCGGCAGCAGCGCUCCUCAAUCAUUUCCUCAGGACAGGAGAACCUCCCAAGAACGCCCGAUUCUGCACCGUAGAAUCCGCACACAGCCCACGGUCACGGUUACCUUACGGAGGGGAAACUGGCAAACAGGACGUUUAGGCAGCAGCGGAAGCACCCAUUUUGAACCGGCUCUAGGAAGGAUGUGGACGUCAGCCUGUAGGUCAUCAGCUGCCGCAGAGUCAAGCCUGCUCUAGAGGAGGGCAGCGCACAGACCACGUCCACAGGCAGGUUCACUGACACUGCCGUGGUGGGGACGGCACCCCUGCAGUGCCAGCAAAGGACCGACGUCACGACACAACGCGAGUGUGCGCCCGCAUGUAGACGUGGACGUGACACAUGCAUGUGGGUCCACACAUCUGUGCAUACGUGCACUACACACAGGACUGCAAUCUGUAAGCACGUGUGAAGACGCUUCAGGCUGAGAAAGCAGAAUGAAAAGAUGAGUCCAUUUUCAUGGGAAAAUCUGAAGGCGUGCGUGCGUGCGUGCGUGUGUGUGCACAUCACACUCUCCUGUCCAGCAGGCUUUGCUGCAGGAAAAUCGGGGCUAUUUUUUAAAAACAACCUCAGGUAACUGUUUCCAAAUUUAUUCUCUGUUGAAUAUACAUCGUGAGGUUGCGUCAUAAUAAUUAUUUCAUAGUAAUAAGUAUAAAUACAUAGUGUGACUUAUUAGACACACGGACGUGCACCUGUGACAAAAGCAUCAGCGUGUUUGGAGUGCAGUGGCCUCCCACUGUAGCUCUGCUCACAGUCAGCUCACUCACCCCCCCCCGCAACCCACGUCUCUGCUCGGCCUCUCGGCAGAUAUCAAGUCCUACACUCGAUCCAGAGAAGACACCGCAGUUCACCACACUGUGGGCACCGGCGAAUUCUAAGCGGACAAUUCUUUUUUCCUUAAUAAAUCACAGUCCUGUGCGUGUAUAUAUAUACA
rnacentral:lncRNA from 1 species